UACGUAGGGGGCAAGCGUUAUCCGGAUUUACUGGGUGUAAAGGGAGCGUAGACGGCAGCACAAGUCUGGAGUGAAAUCCCAUGGCUUAACCAUGGAACUGCUUUGGAAACUGUGCAGCUGGAGUGCAGGAGAGGUAAGCGGAAUUCCUGGUGUAGCGGUGAAAUGCAUAGACAUCACGCAGAACUCCGAUUGCGAAGGCAGCAUACCGGCGCCCGACUGACGCUGAAGCACGAAAGCGUGGGUAUCGAACAGG
rnacentral:rRNA from 1 species